CAAAAAAGGCUUUUACCUCAAAACGGCGAGUGAAGCGGUAAGAGCUCAAAUUUGAAAGCUGGCUCCUUCGGGGUCCGCAUUGUAAUUUGCAGAGGAUGUUUCGGGAGCAGCCCCCAUCUAAGUGUCCUGGAACGGACCGUCAUAGAGGGUGAGAAUCCCGUAUGGGAUGGGGUGUCUGCGCCCAUGUGAAACUCCUUCGACGAGUCGAGUUGUUUGGGAAUGCAGCUCUAAAUGGGUGGUAAAUUUCAUCUAAAGCUAAAUAUUGGCCGGAGACCGAUAGCGCACAAGUAGAGUGAUCGAAAGAUGAAAAGCACUUUGAAAAGAGAGUUAAAAAGCACGUGAAAUUGUUGAAAGGGAAGCGCUUGCGAUCAGACUCGCCUUGGGGGUUCAGCCGGCAUUCGUGCCGGUGUACUUCCCCCAGGGCGGGCCAGCGUCGGUUUGGGUGGCCGGUCAAAGGCCCUUGGAAUGUAACGCCUCUCGGGGCGUCUUAUAGCCAAGGGUGCCAUGCGGCCUACCUGGACCGAGGAACGCGCUUCGGCUCGGACGCUGGCAUAAUGGUCGUAAGCGACCCGUCUUGAAACACGGACCAUU
rnacentral:rRNA from 1 species